rfam:Picea glauca, whole genome shotgun sequence.
ACAUGCCUACAACAUAGCUUUAAUGCAUCGGAUCUCAUUAGAACUUUGUAGCUAAGCAUGCUCAAGAUAGAGUAGUACUGGGAUGGGUGAUUGUCCAAGAAGUACUAUUUUUUUUCAUGCG